rnacentral:rRNA from 1 species
AUUGAACGCUGGCGGCAGGCCUAACACAUGCAAGUCGAACGAGUGGCGGACGGGUGAGUAAUGUCUGGGAAACUGCCUGAUGGAGGGGGAUAACUACUGGAAACGGUAGCUAAUACCGCAUACCAUCGGAUGUGCCCAGAUGGGAUUAGCUAGUAGGUGGGGUAAAGGCUCACCUAGGCGACGAUCCCUAGCUGGUCUGAGAGGAUGACCAGCCCCACUGGAACUGAGACAAGGUCCAGAAUCCUACGGGAGGCAGCAGUGGGGAAUAUUGCACAAUGGGCGGAAGCCUGAUGCAGCCAUGCCGGGUGUAUGAAGAAGGCCUUCGGGUUUUAAAGUACUUUCAGCGGAGAGGAGUUAACAGCAGAAGAAGCAACGGCUAACUCCGGGCCAGCAGCCGCGGUAAUUC